GGGGAUAUAGCUCAAUGACAGAGUGUGUACUUGGUGUGCAUGAGGUCCUGGGUUCAAUCCCCAGUGCCUCCA
rnacentral:tRNA from 1 species